rnacentral:rRNA from 1 species
UCCGGUUGAUCCUGCCGGACCUGACUGCUAUCGGAUUGAUACUAAGCCAUGCGAGUCAUUGUAGCAAUACAAGGCAGACGGCUCAGUAACGCGUAGUCAACCUACCCUAUGGACGGGAAUAACCUCGGGAAACUGAGUAUAAUGCCCGAUAGAACACUAUACCUGGAAUGGUUUGUGUUCCAAAUGAUUUAUCGCCGUAGGAUGGGACUGCGGCCUAUCAGUUUGUUGGUGAGGUAAUGGCCCACCAAGACUAUUACAGGUACGGGCUCUGAGAGGAGUGGCCCGGAGAUGGGUACUGAGACACGGACCCAGGCCCUAUGGGGCGCAGCAGGCGAGAAAACUUUGCAAUGUGCGAAAGCACGACAAGGUUAAUCCGAGUGGUUUCUGCUAAAGGAACCUUUUGACAGUCCUAGAAACACUGUUGAAUAAGGGGUGGGCAAGUUCUGGUGUCAGCCGCCGCGGUAAAACCAGCACCUCAAGUGGUCAGGAUGAUUAUUGGGCCUAAAGCAUCCGUAGCCGGCUCUGUAAGUUUUCGGUUAAAUCUGUACGCUUAACGUACAGGCUGCUGGGAAUACUGCAGAGCUAGGGAGUGGGAGAGGUAGACGGUACUCGGGAGGAAGUGGUAAAAUGCUUUGAUCUCUCGAUGACCACCUGUGGCGAAGGCGGUCUACCAGAACACGUCCGACGGUGAGGGAUGAAAGCUGGGGGAGCAAACCGGAUU